AUUAUGGCACACUGUCGGAGAAAAAUCAGAAAGCCAAAGAAGGAAUAAAACGCUUCCAUACACCUCGGCGUGAGCUAACAAUAGGUCUACCUGCAUACUGGACUAUGCGUAUAGCAUACUGGACACGGUGUCUAACCCUUUCCUAAACAGGUGGGUUUAACACGCAAACUGCCAAAUAAACGUAUCCGCGAAUGGCUCGCAAAGGGAGGAGCCUUGUUGCCAACAGGACUAGGUACCUUCAGCGUCCCUCCUAAGCUAACGGAGGUGCUGUGGACGGAAUACAGGGAUGCUGAAACUGAGACUGGACGAUAACGGAUUGGUUUUGAGGAGACACAUUAAGCAUGAGGUGAAACGGAGACGUAAACCUGAGGAAACAAAGGAGAACAAACGACGGAAACAAACCUUCAAAUACCAUGUACAGCAAGCAGGCCAGAGAUUGAAUGUGUGCAAGGUUACUUUCAUGUCUGUGUUCCAGCUAACCAACAGCCGUCUUCAGGCCACAUCGGAUACAUGCUACAGUGAAAGAGGGCAUCAAGGAGCACAUUCUAUCUUUCCCAAGAACCCAGAACCACUACUCACGGAUGAAGGGGGAUGUACACAGAGAAUACCUCAGCCCUGAUCUGAAUUUGUUGCUACGUUGUUACGUUUUUUCUGUGAGUUUAUGAUCCCCUGAACCUGUAUACUGUAGUAUGUUGAAUCUGUAUACAUUUCAGAAGACAUGUCACCCCUAUUGUAGGAAAUUAAAUGUAUCGUAAGUGUUUUCUAUGUGAAUCAAUUUGUGUAUGAUUUGAACCAGCACAAUAUAUUGAAUUAAUUUAAUUUUUAAGAUGUUGUUCCUAGUGUAGAAAAUGUUAUGUACAAUGUGUUCUGUUGAUAAUUAUUUUGUGUGAUCAUUUGAACCUUUUUUAAUCUGAAUGAAUUAAAAACAAAUAAGUCAUCACAUAGAGUAUGUGAGUAUUCAUUUGAUCUUGAUUCCCUUUUUUUAUUCAUUACAAUAUACACUGUCUCUCUGUCACCACAUUUAGCAUUAACUCAGUGCAGAAGGACAUUUCUUGCCUUUAGCAUGGGUUUAACGCAAUUCACAACUUAAUUGCUGAUCAUAGUGUUAAACACAAAGAGAAUGGUUUUCUGAACGUUUUGUAAUAUUGACCUUCGGGACCUGCAUAAUGGACAUGCAUAUUGGCACAUCACAUUUAUCCCUAUUUGAUAUUUACAAGUUGUGCUUGUUUUGAUUGAAUUAAUUUAAUUGUAUUCUAUUUUGGUAGUUCUAUGGUAUGUUCACAUUGAGGGCUUCAUUUUAAAUGAGACUAAGAUUUCAUGACUCAACUUUUAAGAAAAGUCAUCAUUGCUAAAGUUGAUAGACCACCUUUAAAUUAACCUCCAUACAAAUGAAUUAACUGCAUAUUGCAUUUGUUAUUUACAUGAAGGGCAUAUGUACUUGAA
rnacentral:lncRNA from 13 species